rnacentral:tRNA from 2 species
GUCCCGGUAGCUCAGCUGGAUAGAGUAGCGGUUUCCUAAACCGUCGGUCGGGGGUUCGAAUCCCUUCCGGGACGCCA